rnacentral:rRNA from 1 species
UGCAAGUCGAGCGAACAGAUAAGGAGCUUGCUCCUUUGACGUUAGCGGCGGACGGGUGAGUAACACGUGGGUAACCUACCUAUAAGACUGGAAUAACUCCGGGAAACCGGGGCUAAUGCCGGAUAACAUGUUGAACCGCAUGGUUCUACAGUGAAAGACGGUCUUGCUGUCACUUAUAGAUGGACCCGCGCCGUAUUAGCUAGUUGGUGGGGUAACGGCCUACCAAGGCGACGAUACGUAGCCGACCUGAGAGGGUGAUCGGCCACACUGGAACUGAGACACGGUCCAGACUCCUACGGGAGGCAGCAGUAGGGAAUCUUCCGCAAUGGGCGAAAGCCUGACGGAGCAACGCCGCGUGAGUGAUGAAGGUCUUCGGAUCGUAAAGCUCUGUUGUUAGGGAAGAACAAAUGUGUAAGUAACUGUGCACAUCUUGACGGUACCUAACCAGAAAGCCACGGCUAACUACGUGCCAGCAGCCGCGGUAA